GGCUCAGAGCGAACGCUGGCGGCAGGCCUAACACAUGCAAGUCGAACGGAUCCUUCGGGAUUAGUGGCGGACGGGUGAGUAACACGUGGGAACGUGCCUUUUGGUUCGGAACAACUCAGGGAAACUUGAGCUAAUACCGGAUAAGCCUUUCGAGGGAAAGAUUUAUCGCCAUUGGAGCGGCCCGCGUAGGAUUAGCUAGUUGGUGGGGUAAAGGCCCACCAAGGCUACGAUCCUUAGCUGGUCUGAGAGGAUGAUCAGCCACAUUGGGACUGAGACACGGCCCAAACUCCUACGGGAGGCAGCAGUGGGGAAUCUUGCGCAAUGGGCGAAAGCCUGACGCAGCCAUGCCGCGUGAAUGAUGAAGGUCUUAGGAUUGUAAAAUUCUUUCACCGGGGACGAUAAUGACGGUACCCGGAGAAGAAGCCCCGGCUAACUUCGUGCCAGCAGCCGCGGUAAUACGAAGGGGGCUAGCGUUGCUCGGAAUUACUGGGCGUAAAGGGAGCGUAGGCGGAUAGUUUAGUCAGAGGUGAAAGCCCAGGGCUCAACCUUGGAAUUGCCUUUGAUACUGGCUAUCUUGAGUACGGAAGAGGUAUGUGGAACUCCGAGUGUAGAGGUGAAAUUCGUAGAUAUUCGGAAGAACACCAGUGGCGAAGGCGACAUACUGGUCCGUUACUGACGCUGAGGCUCGAA
rnacentral:rRNA from 1 species